GAUGAACGCUAGCGAUAGGCUUAACACAUGCAAGUCGAGGGGCAGCAUGGUCUUAGCUUGCUAAGACUGAUGGCGACCGGCGCACGGGUGCGUAACGCGUAUGCAACUUGCCUCACAGAGGGGGAUAACCCGUCGAAAGACGGACUAAUACCGCGUACACUCCAUCUUGGGCAUCCAAGGUAGAGGAAAUGAAAUUCGCUGUGAGAUAGGCAUGCGUCCCAUUAGCUAGUUGGUGAGGUAACGGCUCACCAAGGCGACGAUGGGUAGGGGAACUGAGAGGUUGAACCCCCACACUGGUACUGAGACACGGACCAGACUACUACGGGAGGCAGCAGUGAGGAAUAUUGGUCAAUGGGCGAGAGCCUGAACCAGCCAAGUCGCGUGAAGGAUGACUGUCUUAUGGAUUGUAAACUUCUUUUAUACGGGAAUAACAAGAGUCACGUGUGACUCCCUGCAUGUACCGUAUGAAUAAGCAUCGGCUAACUCCGUA
rnacentral:rRNA from 1 species